rnacentral:lncRNA from 1 species
AUUUUGCAAGCUAUUAAAAUAUUUGUCGAAGUUUCGUACAAAAAAAUUCAGAUUUUUUAGAUUUAGUGUCCACCCGAGCUCAUGUGAGCUCGCGAUCAGAACAGGUGCGUCCGUUUAAGACUUACUAUUGUAUGAGUCGGCUACUAGAUUGGCUCCAGAUAACAUGUCCAUUGUUGACUGUAUUAUUAACCAUGCUCGAAAGCCUCGUAGAGGUCCACUACACUUUACAAAUUACUACUCCUAUCUCAGACGGCAAGCUCGGCGGCACUGCCCCGGUGCACCUAAGCUAACUUAAAAUCUCCUGCUGCCCACCGGCCGGCAGCCGCUGCGACGUCUCCUCGGCGUCGACGAGGCAGAGCACAUGGUGCACCGCCGCCGCGAUAUCGUCCGCCGUUGUCAGCCCGCACCCUUCCUCCACCUGCACACACGAAUCAAAAACAUGAAGCCUGAGCUUUCUCUGCGAUCGCACUUAUCAAGGAGCGAAGUUCACUGCACACAAUUAAAUGGCAUCAGGCCAAUACACGCGAGGCAAAGCGGCGGUUCCGGAGCGCAGAGAGGCCCGGUGAACAGGCGAUCGGUCACAGCGUGAGCUACAUCGAUCACUACAUCGAUCACUGAGCCGGAAGUGAAAAAAGCUCCUGUAAAGGCAGAUUCUCCGAUGGGGCCUGGGCGAUCGACGGGCGCCGCUGCCAUGAACAGCCCGAAGGAAAGGCACCACACACGAACCCUGUAGCCUCCCCUUUUUCUUUUCCCUGCUCACCUCGCCAUGUCAAUCUAUCUGAUCUACGACCCAGCUCCGCAGAAAGAUUCUCCAUGGCGCCAUCUCCAGCCUACUUUAGCAGGAGGAAAAAAUAGGGUAAAAGUAUCAUAUGUGCAGCUCUGCUUCUGCUUUUUGAGCUUGAACUGUCAUGGCUCGAUAUAGUGCAGGCAGCAGCCAUAUGGGGGCAGGUCAAGUCCAGAGAGCAGAGCUGCUACAGCUUGGAGUGCAGAGCGGAGCAAAAGCCUCUAUCGGGGGAGCAAAAAGCCUCUGGAUCGAUUCCGGAAUCUCAAUCUGGUCAAAAAGCAAAUGACCAAUGGCUGGAGCCAGCCAGCUUUCUGGUCUUCCCGGCCAUGGCCAGCGGCGGAUGUACUCCACCAUGAAGCAGCACUGGGUAGUGGCUGCUGGUUUCUAGCUCGCACAAGCAAUGCACGCCAACCUCUGCAGCAGAGCUUAUGCAAUGUAGUAGAUGCCUAGCCGGAAUGAUUUUGUUCACCUCAAGCAACAAGAGAUGUGAAAUGAUUUUAUUUUUUGAGUUGCCGAUCAGCCUGGGGUAGUAGGGGUGUUUUAGGAAGUUAUCUCAGCCGGCACAGUCAAAAAAUGUUCAGGCCUCACCGUUUUAGCGCAAGAAACAAUUUGUAUGGAAUUCUCUACAGUGUUUAACUAUUUUGGAUGCUGUGCUAAAACCCAACAUGUUUUUGGUCCUUCUGAUAGAGAAGCCACAUGCAUCAAAGAAAAUUAAAAAAUACUCUAGAUGCUUUCGCUUGCAAACGGGCCUAGCAUCGUUCUCACUGGCUUUAUAGCUAGAGUUGUUGUCAUUUUCCGGCGCUAGAUAGGAGAAAAAUGAAAAUGUAGAUUUUGGCGAUGGCUUAGGUUUUCAUCAGAAGAGAAAGUAACAACCGAGUGAAUAGUUUGCAGGCAACGGCAUGGAAAUGUACCUUGACGCUGAGGGAGUAGAGCGCGAGCGAGCCGAGCGUGGUGACGUUGAGGUGCAGGACGGUGAGCCUGAGCGCCUCCAUCCCGGCGACCAUCCUGAGCAGCUGCCCCGGCCGCCGCGGCGCCAUCACCCGGACGCUGGCGUGCGUCUCCACCAGGGUCACCUCGAUGUCCGCCGCCCCGGCGCGGUCGUCGGCGUCGUCCCGCGGUGGGAGGAGGCGCACGUACUGCGGGUACGUGAAGAACCCCGCGAACGGGGGCCCCGUCGUGUCGUGCGUCGCCGCAGCCUGCUUGCCCUCAUCGGUGCUCGUCGUCGUGGCCGCGGCCGCGGCCGCGACGGUGGUGCUCGACGAUGGCAUGGCGUCACGGAUGGGCAGCGGCUUGUGCUCCUGCUCCGGCUGCGCCAGGAGCGUGCGCUUCUGCGCCUCCAGGGACUGCAGCAGCUGCUCGAGCUCCUUGACGAAAUCGAUGGCGCCGCCGACAAUGGAUGCCUGGUCGCCCUACACAUCCAUCGAAUUGAAAGCCAGCGACAGUCAAGUGCGGGUACAUUCAUCCUCACAGAAGGUAGUUGCAUGUGAUCGAAGAAGUACGUACAACUUAAAAGAACAGGGUAGUAGUAGCUGUAACACUCUGUUCCCCAAGCUCAGAAAAAAAAACAGUGUAGGACAUUUACUAGAACUAUGAGUGAAGUGAUGAUAGGGAGAGGAGGCGCAUUAACGGCGCAAUGUGGCCGAGGAAUGUAUGUCUCGCGGAGGAGGGAUACGCGCCAUUAUUGGCGUGCAUUGGCUCUGGUAGUUAAGAACAGGGGCCCGAAUGGAGCAGACAAGAUUCAAGAACUCCCGACGCCACUCCACCAUUGGCCCUCAAACAUAAUGACGCUCGAUGUAAAGAUUUUGGCCUCAAGAACUCAACACGAAGAGCGCAGAACGUAUCAGGAAUUCAGCGAGACGCGAGAACGUGAGCUUACCCGGUGGGCGUAGGACUCCGGCAUGAGGGAGCGGAGCGCGGCGAGGUACUCGUUCAUCUGGCGCCGGCGGUUGCGCUCGACGGCAAUGUGGGUCAUCCGCUGGCUCUCGGCGUCCUCGCGGUUCUUGCAGCUCCUCGCCCGCCGCCGCCGCUUCCUCCUCCCCUGCGCCUUCUCCCCUUCUUCCACCGGCACCGCCGUCACAGCCGGCGCCGCAGCGGAAGCAGACCCCGCCAUCCAUGCCUCAUCGCCGAAGAGGAGGCUGCUGUCGGCCGGCGCGGCACUCGCGGCGGCCGCCGCGUUGAAGGUGUCGUAGACGAGGACGUCGCUGGCCGCGCACAGGGCAUCCAGCGUCAUGCCGAUCCGACGGAUCGAACUCGAAGGAGCUAGUGCCCGACUGCCGGUUGGUGCUACGCUGCUACUAUACGCGUGUGCGUGCGUUUCUAGCGAGACAUGGGAGGGGGGAGGAAAGCUAGGACAUGCACGAGACGGUGUAAAAUAAUGGUGGCGGGCACCGCGCGGAGUGGGACGCGGCAGGCGCCAACUCCGUGUGUGGCGUGCCCGGGCGAUGUGCUCGAAGCGCCGCAGCGAGCGCAGGCAGGCAGGCAAAGGCAACAGCGGCGCCGCAGACGCGUGGGCGGUCUGUGGCUGCGCCAGAGGCGUAGGUAAGAUUAGAUUAGAUCGGCCUCCGUUCGUGGUCACCACGCCACGCUCCAAGGGAUCGGCACCAAAAUCCCGCUUUCUCUCGGCGUAGCGGCGAGAUCUUUGAAGCCGAUCGGAUGCUACACGUAACGGACGAGCUAGCUAGCUUUCUCCCCGGGCCCUGUAGCUAGAAAAAGUGAGAGUGAGAGGGGUGUGUGGUCACGCUCUGCCUGUCGCUGCUGCUCUGUGAUUUUCCUUUUGCUGCUUCGCUCGAUAUGUGGGAGUGUGUGUGUGGGGUGGUGUCCCUUCUCGGUAUGCCAAAUGACACCCUGCGGGUGCUGGCCAGGCCGAGGCAGGGGGGCCCCGCGUACGGCGGCAUCUGGCGCGAGAGGGUCCGAUAAUUGGGAAUCGGCGCGGUGGCGGUACGUGGAUUGCCCAUGCAUGCAUGCAUGUGGCCGAGGAAAAAGUCCAUUUUAAACCUUGAAUUUGUAGAGGUUANNNNNNNNNNNNNNNNNNNNNNNNNNNNNNNNNNNNNNNNNNNNNNNNNNNNNNNNNNNNNNNNNNNNNNNNNNNNNNNNNNNNNNNNNNNNNNNNNNNNCUUCUUCAUCAGGCUUGAUACCACAACUCUCAGAUAUGGUCUUUGGCAAUUUCUGAAUAAGAAAAAUAUAUCAAUUAAUAAGUAGCCUCACACAUUCUACACGAAGCAUAUAUAUCAUCGGACUCUACACUAAGCAUAUAUAUCAUCGGACUCUACACUAAGUAUAUAUAUCAUCGUACUCUACACUAAGUAUAACAAUAAAGCAUAUAAGAUUCACUAAGCAUAUAAGAUUCACUAAGCAUAUAUAUCAUCGGACUCUACACUAAGUAUAACAAUAAAGCAUAUAAGAUUCACUAAGCAUAGAUUCACUAAGCAUAUAAGAUUCAGUAAGCAUAUAAGAUUCAGUAAGCAUAUUUAUCAUCAGACUCUACACUAAGUAUAACAAUAAAGCAUAUCAUCAAAUUACUCUAAAAACUACAGUAAAUGCAACAUACCAUCAUAUGCCGAUCAACCAUGGUACUUGUCAGGCGGGUCACGAAUGGCACCCCGACGAAGUCAGCAUGUGGCGGAAUGAUGUCCCAUAGGUUGCACACCUCCUCCUCGCUCAACUUCAUUCUUUGAGCUAUGAUGGCAUCACCGAGUGGGUCAUCAUCAUCCUCAUCAUCCUCAUCAUCUUAUGCUUUGUUGAUAUAAAUCACGGCCAGCUUGGGUCUUUCAGCUCUGAAGGAGAAGCUGAUCAACUCACCACCGGUGAUACGCAUGUUGUCGAUGAAACGGACCCAUCCGUCUCCUCCCACCCGCGUCAUCUUUCAUCCUUUCUCGAUCUCCAUAGUGUAGGGGCCCCCGGGAGCCUCAAAUGUCACAGAGUCUCUAGUCAGAUUGUUGAAUUCUGACCUCACAUUGCAUGGGACGAUCUGUGUACAAAAAGCAAAAUGAUAUAUACACGAUGCAUUAAUGCCAAUAACACUAAAAACAAAAUAGUAGUUACUAGUUUCAUAUAAUUUAUUACCGCCGCAUGAAGAAAACUAGACUCGAAGUAGAUGCCAAACAGCGUGCCAGUUGCAAGGCUGCUGGCGCACCUUGACUUGCACCGUCGACAUGGUGGUGGUGGUGGUGGUGGCGCCAUUUCCCUAAAGCAAUAUGAUUAAAGGAUUAACGAUCCAAAAAGUAAACAUAAAGUUUUCAUAGCUAGAGUUCACAUGGCAAGCAAAAUAACAACUAAAAAGUAAACAUAAAGUUCAGUCCAACAAUCACAAAUUGCAAAAGUAGAGUGAUUGUAUGAUAAAGCACAAGAAAGCUAGCAAUCUAGUAAACAAAUGUCCCCAACUCUUCAGAUGAAGCGUCGCUAUCAGCAUGAAAUUUACACUAAACACAAGGUUAAACAAUACUAGUAGCUCAAUAAUUUAGAGAUGUAACAAACAAAUAUAUGGCAAAACAUAACAAUACUUUGAUCUCAUCUCAUCUUCGUUAAUCACAACAAAGCACACUAAAUAAACUACCCCCUUCUCAUAUCAGUAAUCCUAAAUCUUGAUGAUUUCUCACAACAAAGCACACUAAAUAAACAUGAGCUUGUAGCUUUGUCUCUCACAUGAACAACACCUAUACAACAUCCUAUAGAAGGGCACUUGGUACAACCCGAACCGAGCACUUACACUCCUAUAGAAGCAAUAUCCAUAACAUCACAUUAGAAAAGUCGAAACCGCCCAACCACAAAGCAAAAAAUCAAACAUGAGCCAGCCCAAUCCAAUGCCAAAUCAUGUCAGCAACAACCAACCCAAAUCCUCUACUCUCUCCCAUAUGUGAUACUAAUUAACAGUAGGAUCUAGAUAUGCAUAUGUGAUACUAAUUAACAGUAGGAUCGAUUGGAGCCAUGCAUCGAAGCGCGGAGCCACCGUGCAAUCCCUAAAUCCCAAAACAUGGCGAGCCGCCGCGGCAAAUCGAUUGGAGCCCCUACGACGAACCCUAACCGAGAGAUCGAGAGGAGCUACUGUGGCGCCCGCAGGGAGGAGGAGAUCGAGAGGGGGACUUACGGGGCUGAAGCGUCGGAGGAGGCGAGAGGCGACUGCGCGUGGUGGCGGCGCACGGCACCGUCGACGGGGGUGAGGCGGCUGGGGACGAACCCUAACCGCGGCGGCGGCGGCGGCGGGCGGAUGGGAUUGAUUGUGUGAGACGAGGGGGGUGCGGCCGGGGGCGCUCGCGGGGCGGUUUUCUUUAGCUGUAGUAGUAGCGCUGGUUGCAGCACCACACUACUGCUAAGCCCACCAGCUGUAGCGCCUUUUCAGAACAAACGCUAAAGCUAAGUGGGCUACAGAUGCUGCCCUGCGGCCCAUGUAACAGUAGCGCGGCCCGAACAAACAAACGCUGCUGCUAUAUGUUAGUAGUAGCGUGUUUUCUACACAGCGCUACUGGUAAUUACUAGUAGCGCUGGUUCAUAAAAACUCGCUACUGAUAACUUCUAUUUAUAAGCAUUUUCCUAGUAGUGUGCAGUGGGCAAGUCACUGGAUCUCAGUCCCCCAAGUGCACAUGUGGUGAUAAUUUAUAAUGUUUUGCGAGCAUUGAUUCCUUUUGCCAUAUUUUCCAAGAAUGCCAUAUGAUGAUGGAAUUUUGCAAGCUAUUAAAAUAUUUGUCGAAGUUUCGUACAAAAAAAUUCAGAUUUUUUAGAUUUAGUGUCCACCCGAGCUCAUGUGAGCUCGCGAUCAGAACAGGUGCGUCCGUUUAAGACUUACUAUUGUAUGAGUCGGCUACUAGAUUGGCUCCAGAUAACAUGUCCAUUGUUGACUGUAUUAUUAACCAUGCUCGAAAGCCUCGUAGAGGUCCACUACACUUUACAAAUUACUACUCCUAUCUCAGACGGCAAGCUCGGCGGCACUGCCCCGGUGCACCUAAGCUAACUUAAAAUCUCCUGCUGCCCACCGGCCGGCAGCCGCUGCGACG